rnacentral:misc_RNA from 1 species
UUGAAUAAACUUGGUUGGGUUGUUUGCUGGUUCUUUGGAGCAUGUGCACACCUAUUCCAAAUUCUUAAAAACCCCCCUUGUGCACCUUGUGUAGACCUGGAUAAAGUCUCGAGGCAAUUCCCCUCGGUUAGAGAAUUUGCUGUGCAGUCAAGCCAGCUUAAUCUUGUGUUCUGGGUCUAUGAUUUUACACACACACUAUUAGAAUGUACUUGAAUGGUAUUCAAUGGGCCUUUUGUGCCUUUAGAAAUAAAUACAACUUUCAACAACGGAUCUCUUGGCUCUCGCAUCGAUGAAGAACGCAG